CGCGCGAUACAGGGUGACAGCCCCGUACACAAAAAUGCACAUAUUGUGAGCUCGAUGAGUAGGGCGGGACACGUGGUAUCCUGUCUGAAUAUGGGGGGACCAUCCUCCAAGGCUAAAUACUCCUGACUGACCGAUAGUGAACCAGUACCGUGAGGGAAAGGCGAAAAGAACCCCGGCGAGGGGAGUGAAAAAGAACCUGAAACCGUGUACGUACAAGCAGUGGGAGCACGCUUAGGCGUGUGACUGCGUACCUUUUGUAUAAUGGGUCAGCGACUUAUAUUCUGUAGCAAGGUUAACCGAAUAGGGGAGCCGAAGGGAAACCGAGUCUUAACUGGGCGUUAAGUUGCAGGGUAUAGACCCGAAACCCGGUGAUCUAGCCAUGGGCAGGUUGAAGGUUGGGUAACACUAACUGGAGGACCGAACCGACUAAUGUUGAAAAAUUAGCGGAUGACUUGUGGCUGGGGGUGAAAGGCCAAUCAAACCGGGAGAUAGCUGGUUCUCCCCGAAAGCUAUUUAGGUAGCGCCUCGUGAAUUCAUCUCCGGGGGUAGAGCACUGUUUCGGCAAGGGGGUCAUCCCGACUUACCAACCCGAUGCAAACUGCGAAUACCGGAGAAUGUUAUCACGGGAGACACACGGCGGGUGCUAACGUCCGUCGUGAAGAGGGAAACAACCCAGACCGCCAGCUAAGGUCCCAAAGUCAUGGUUAAGUGGGAAACGAUGUGGGAAGGCCCAGACAGCCAGGAUGUUGGCUUAGAAGCAGCCAUCAUUUAAAGAAAGCGUAAUAGCUCACUGGUCGAGUCGGCCUGCGCGGAAGAUGUAACGGGGCUAAACCAUGCACCGAAGCUGCGGCAGCGACGCUUAUGCGUUGUUGGGUAGGGGAGCGUUCUGUAAGCCUGUGAAGGUGUGCUGUGAGGCAUGCUGGAGGUAUCAGAAGUGCGAAUGCUGACAUAAGUAACGAUAAAGCGGGUGAAAAGCCCGCUCGCCGGAAGACCAAGGGUUCCUGUCCAACGUUAAUCGGGGCAGGGUGAGUCGACCCCUAAGGCGAGGCCGAAAGGCGUAGUCGAUGGGAAACAGGUUAAUAUUCCUGUACUUGGUGUUACUGCGAAGGGGGGACGGAGA
rnacentral:rRNA from 1 species